rnacentral:pre_miRNA from 1 species
UCUUAUGGAUGAGCAAAGAGAGUGAUUUCUUGAGGUGGAAUCUAUUCCUGGUGAAGAUGCUAUCUGUGAA